GACGAACGCUGGCGGCGUGCUUAACACAUGCAAGUCGAACGGAAAGGCCCUGCUUUUGUGGGGUGCUCGAGUGGCGAACGGGUGAGUAACACGUGAGUAACCUGCCCUUGACUUUGGGAUAACUUCAGGAAACUGGGGCUAAUACCGGAUAGGAGCUCCUGCUGCAUGGUGGGGGUUGGAAAGUUUCGGCGGUUGGGGAUGGACUCGCGGCUUAUCAGCUUGUUGGUGGGGUAGUGGCUUACCAAGGCUUUGACGGGUAGCCGGCCUGAGAGGGUGACCGGCAACAUUGGGAAUGAGAGACGGCCCAGACUCCUACGGGAGGCAGAAGGGGGGAAUAUUGCACAAUGGGCGGAAGCCGGAUGCAGCAACGCCGCGUGCGGGAUGACGGCCUUCGGGUUGUAAACCGCUUUCGCCUGUGACGAAGCGUGAGUGACGGUAAUGGGUAAAGAAGCACCGGCUAACUACGUG
rnacentral:rRNA from 1 species